GAGAGGCCACUGGGUAAAGGGUGACUUCUUCUCAGCAUCCCAAAUGGCAUCCUAUUCCCUUUAGUGCACUACCACAGGGUCCAGAUCAAAAGUAGUGCACUAAAAGGGAAUAGGGUGCCAUUUGGGACGCGCCCACAUACAGUAAGUGGAAGUUCACCCAAUUGGAGAAAUAAGAGCGCACCAUCCGACCGAUAGCAUAGGAGCAGAAAAUUAGAUAAAGAUGGACAGAGAGAGUGAAGGAAGAGAAGGAGGGAGGAGGAGAAAUAGAGGGAGAUCAGGUUUUCAGAAGAAGGGUCUGAAGCCAGUCGUUUGUCCCAGAAGAACAAGCAUUUUGUUUUGGAGAGGACUGAGGUCCCGGUGAACCACACGGUGUGAGUGCAGGAAGUCCAACCCCUGCAGCAGCUGAUACAUCAUAUCCUGUUAGGACACAUGGACAUUCAGACACAGUCUUAACAGGACCUGAGCCCUAGGACCAUGCCUCAGGACGAUC